CAGUUGACGCUUCACGUUAUUUUAGUUUACACUUUGCUUCUUGUAUUUGCUUUAUUUUACGUUUUCCGUCUACAGUUUUAUACACACUCUUCUUUUUCAAGGCGCAUAUAGCUUGGAUCUACGAUCUGAUAAGCGCCCUCUGACACACGCUCUGUCAAGGGACUUUCUGAGCGUGGUGCCACUGUAAGCAUAACCUUCACUGAAUUAUGGAAAAUGUUAUAAAAUCUCAGAUCUCCAUCUUAUUAUUGUUAUUAUUAAAACGAACAGUUAUAGAAAAAAAAAGUAAUAAAAAACCACGACGGCUUUGGACAAGAAAAUGGAUUUCUGUACCUGCUAUUUCCACAUUAUUCCGGAAACAGUGGAUGCCAUUUAUACUGUCUUAAAAGAUGAAUAUGAUUUUCUACCUCAAAAGACCACUACAAACAGUUUAAACCAGACAAUCAAAUACAUAAAUAUUUAGUAUUGUUUAUGCAGUUUACUCAAGUUUUCAGAUUGUACACAUGAGAUACCACAGCAAAAUGCGAAAAGUAACCACAAAAGAGCGGGAAUCACUGGAUAUUUAAAAUAAGUCAUGUCAUUUGUCAUGCAGAAAUAGAAACAUUCCUAUUCAAUGAUAUACAUAUUAUUUCCUUAUGAGUUAAGAUUUGUCUUAUGACCGCGCAUAAUACCAAAAAUAGUAUAGUGUAAACACAAAUCCAAUUGCUUGUUACUUAUCAUAUGACAAAUCACGAGAAAUAUGAUAGUGUAAAACCUUAAGGCAGGGCCCCCUUAUGUUGGUUGUAGUCUUGUAGACAAUGCUUUGACCUGAAAC